UUAGAAUAAAAGUAGUUAUAGUCUUCAUAACUCAAAGAAUUUGGCGGUUAAUGAAAGUUUUUAGAGGAAUCUGUGUUAUAAUUGAUACUCCACGAUAGUUUUUACCUAUUUUAUAUUUGUAUAUCUCUAUGGUUAAUAGAUUGUUUUUAAAGAAUAUUUUCUUUUUGGAUAUUCAUAUAUUUUAGGUCAAGGUGCAGUUUUAAGUAGGUAAAUAUGGGUUACUUUAUUUUUUUUUAUAAGGGAUAAUCUUUUUGAUUAUUUAUUAUAGGAUUUAAGAGUAAAUUAAAUUUAUUAAUUUUAUUGAAUAUU
rnacentral:rRNA from 1 species